UACGACUACAUAUCAGGCAUAUCAAUAAGCGGAGGAAAAGAAACUAACAAGGAUUCCCCUAGUAACGGCGAGUGAAGCGGGAAGAGCUCAAAUUUGAAAUCUUAAAGGGUUUCCCUUUACGAAUUGUAGUUUAAAGAAGUGUUUUCGGUUAGAGGAGUAGUAAAAGUUCUUUGGAAUAGGACAUCAUAGAGGGUGAGAAUCCCGUAUUUGACCAUUAUUUCCAGCUUUGUGAUACACUUUCAAAGAGUCGGAUUGUUUGGGAAUGCAGUCCGAAAUGGGUGGUAAAUUUCAUCUAAAGCUAAAUAUUGGCGAGAGACCGAUAGCGAACAAGUACCGUGAGGGAAAGAUGAAAAGAACUUUGAAAAGAGAGUUAAACAGUACGUGAAAUUGUCAAAAGGGAAGCGUUUGACACCAGUGUUGUUUCUACGAAAAUCAAUUUAUGAUGGCUUGAUGCUAAGCUUUAAGACUUUAUCCGCUUGUUGUUUAGUUUUCUUGUCUUUGUGAAUGCACUUUCGUGGAACAAGUCAACAUCAAUUUCUUUUGCUGUAAAAGGGUAAGAGGAAGGUGGCUUCGGCUUCGGUUGAAGUGUUUAUAGCCUUUUAUCUCUGCAGUCGGAGAGAUUGAGGUCUGCAGCGUAGACUCUUCGGGGUUAGAUACGUCGGUGCUAAGCUAUAGCUUUUCAUAGACAACUUGUUGACUAUGUUUAGUCAUGUGGCUUACCCGCUGGCGCUAUUUUACCUACGCUUAGGAUGUUGACACACGCGCGUGCUCG
rnacentral:rRNA from 1 species